rnacentral:rRNA from 1 species
UACGUAGGGGGCAAGCGUUGUCCGGAUUUAUUGGGCGUAAAGAGCGUGUAGGCGGCCAUGCAGGUCAGCUGUGAAAACUCGAGGCUCAACCUCGAGACGUCGGUUGAAACCGUAUGGCUAGAGUCCGGAAGAGGCGAGUGGAAUUCCUGGUGUAGCGGUGAAAUGCGCAGAUAUCAGGAGGAACACCAAUGGCGAAGGCAGCUCGCUGGGACGGUACUGACGCUGAGACGCGAAAGCGUGGGGAGCAAACAGG